CUUUGGCCAUCAGGGAAAGCCCAGACUCUGGCCACAGAAUGGAGAAUUCGUUCUGUGACCUUACCAGGGAAGAAAGUGACCCCCAAAGACAGCAGUGUGCUUCCUUGUUGAAGGGGCACAUUCAUUUAUUAAUCCAAUGUCCAUUAAGGUCACUCUGCUAGGCAGGAUGUGGGGCUUAUGGCUGGUGCGUGUGGCUUUGUGGGGGGAGGGGUUGUGGCUGGUGAGGACACAAAGCUGACUGCCCUAGAGGAGCUCAGAGCCUCACUUCUGUUUUCUCUUCCCUCCCCACAGCAGAGGAAGAACCGAUGCUGGAACGUCGUUGCAGGGGCCCCCUGGCCAUGGGCCCGGCCCAGGCCCGACUCCUUUCUGGGCCCUCCCAGGAGUCACCCCAGACCCUGGGGAAGGAGUCCCGCGGGCUGAGGCAACAAGGCACGUCAGUGGCCCAGUCUGGUGCCCAAGCCCCAGGCAGGGCCCAUCGCUGUGCCCACUGUCGAAGGCACUUCCCUGGCUGGGUGGCUCUGUGGCUUCACACCCGCCGGUGCCAGGCCCGGCUGCCCUUGCCCUGCCCUGAGUGUGGCCGUCGCUUUCGCCAUGCCCCCUUCUUAGCACUGCACCGCCAGG
rnacentral:sRNA from 1 species